rnacentral:rRNA from 1 species
UACGGAGGGUGCAAGCGUUAUCCGGAUUCACUGGGUUUAAAGGGAGCGUAGGCGGAUUGAUAAGUCAGCGGUGAAAUCUUUCGGCUUAACCGGGAAACUGCCAUUGAUACUAUCAGUCUUGAAUUUCGUUGAGGUUUGCGGAAUAGGUCAUGUAGCGGUGAAAUGCUUAGAUAUGACCUAGAACACCGAUAGCGAAGGCAGCAAGCUAAACGAAUAUUGACGCUGAGGCUCGAAAGCGUGGGGAUCAAACAGG